GUAUUGAUUGCGUGUGACCGCAAAAAUAACAUUCUACACUGUAUCAAGUUUUGUGUGAAAACGUGAGCCCUCCUGCAAAGGGGACCCACGCGGUGAUGCACAAAGGGUGAGAUGGAUUAUUAUGUGAGGGAACACACCCGGGCGUGCACGACUUUGGGUCAGCGACAGCCCUUGCAUGCCCCUCACAUUUUGUACGAUAAUGAUCCUUCCGCAGGUUCACCUACGGAAA
rnacentral:misc_RNA from 1 species